GACGAACGCUGGCGGCGUGCCUAGUACAUGCAAGUCGAGCGAAGUUUUUCUGGUGCUUGCCCUAGAAAAACUUAGCGGCGAACGGGUGAGUAACACGUAAAGAACCUGCCUCAUAGACUGGGACAACUAUUGGAAACGAUAGCUAAUACCGGAUAACAGUAUUUCUCGCAUGAGAGAUAUUUAAAAGUUGGUUAUGCUAACACUAUGAGAUGGCUUUGCGGUGCAUUAGCUAGUUGGUGGGGUAAAGGCCCACCAAGGCGACGAUGCAUAGCCGACCUGAGAGGGUGAUCGGCCACACUGGGACUGAGACACGGCCCAGACUCCUACGGGAGGCAGCAGUAGGGAAUCUUCCGCAAUGGGCGAAAGCCUGACGGAGCAACGCCGCGUGAGUGAAGAAGGAUUUCGGUUCGUAAAGCUCUGUUGUUAGGGAAGAAUGGAUGUGUAGUAACUAUACAUGUAAGAGACGGUACCUAACCAGAAAGCCACGGCUAACUACGUG
rnacentral:rRNA from 1 species